rnacentral:rRNA from 1 species
AUUGAACGCUGGCGGCAGGCCUAACACAUGCAAGUCGAACGAGUGGCGGACGGGUGAGUAAUGUCUGGGAAACUGCCUGAUGGAGGGGGAUAACUACUGGAAACGGUAGCUAAUACCGCAUACUCUCAGAGCUGCCCAGAUGGGAUUAGUUAGUUGGUGGGGUAACGGCUGACCAAGGCGACGAUCCCUAGCUGGUCUGAGAGGAUGACCAGCCACACUGGAACUGAGACACGGUCCAGACUCCUACGGAAGGCAGCAAGGAGGAAGAUUGCACAAUGGGCGCAAGCCUGUUGCAGCCAGGCCGCGUGUAUGAAGAAGGCCUUCGGGUUGUAAAGUACUUUCAGCUGGGAGGCGUUACCCGCAGAAGAAGCACCGGCUAACUCCGUGCCAGCAGCCGCGGUAAUAC